UUGGCAACCAAAUUUUGUCAUUCAAUUCUAGCAUGAACGAUGGAUCCAUACCUUAGCUUGUCAUUCAUCAUCUGAAGGUAUAUACAUCUUCU